rnacentral:rRNA from 1 species
CCCUUAGAUGUUCUGGGCCGCACGCGUGCUACACUGAGUGGAUCAGCGGGUCAGGUUGCGCGAAAGCGUUUCCUAAUCUUUAAAUCCGCUCGUGAUGGGGAUUGACGGUUGCAAUUUUCUGUCAUGAACGAGGAAUACCUUGUAAGCGCGGGUCAUCAUCCCGCGCUGAAUACGUCCCUGCCCUUUGUACACACCGCCCGUCGCUCCUACCGGUUGAGUGGUCCGGUGAGGCUUUGGGAUCUGAGCGAAAAGAGCGUUUCGCUGUUUCUGCUCGGAAAACUCAGUCGAACCUUAUCAUUUAGAGGAAGGAGAAGUCGUAACA